rnacentral:rRNA from 1 species
CCUACGGGAGGCAGCAGUGGGGAAUAUUCCACAAUGGGGGAAACCCUGAUGCAGCGACGCCGCGUGAGUGAAGAAGUAAUUCGUUAUGUAAAGCUCUAUCAGCAGGGAAGAAAAUGACGGUACCUGAGUAAGAAGCACCGGCUAACUACGUGCCAGCAGCCGCGGUAAUACGUAGGGGGCAAGCGUUAUCCGGAUUUACUGGGUGUAAAGUGAGCGGAGACGGCAGUGCAAGUCUGGAGUGAAAGGCGGGGGCUCAACCGCCGGAGUGCACCGGAAACUGUACGGCUGGAGUGCAGGAGAGGUAAGUGGAACUCCAAGUGUAGCGGUGAAAUGCGUAGAUAUUAGGAGGAACACCAGUGGCGAAGGCGGCUUACUGGACUGUAACUGACGUUGAGGCUCGAAAGCGUGGGGAGCGAACAGGAUUAGAUACCCCUGUAGUC